rnacentral:rRNA from 1 species
AUGUUGGCUUUGCAACUGCAUUUUAGAGAGUGCAGUCAAGUCAAGAUGCUUCCCAGCUUCCUCAGAUGCUUUCCUAACUUGGGGAUGCUGAUUGUCGAGUCUUCUCUUGAAACCACCAGCAGCCGUAGUCUCAAGUUCUGGCAGGAGACAGGUCCUAUUGAGUGUGUCCAGUCGCACCUUGAGACUCUUGUCUUUCUGUGA